UGUGUGCAUCAUUCUAUUGAUAAAAUAAUAAUAAUAAACGACAUUGUUUAAUAAUUAGAAAUUGGUAAGUAGGAAUUUUCAAAACAACUAGCAAACUACCUACCAAGUCAAUUCAACUGCAAUUCAAGUCAUUGUGCUCCUAUCAACCAAACUUUAUGAAUGGGCCGAUUUACUUAAUACAGUUACUAUUAAAAAGAUUUAUUAAAAAAAAAUUAAUAAAAAGUCAUAUUCAUGCAUAGUAUUUGGUAGAAUUGAUUGCUACAUCCGAUUAAGCCAUUUCGUCUGCAACUUAAUAUGGUUCAAAAUCUCUAACUUAUGACCAAAAAAAAUUACUUGACAAACUAAACAACGAAACUUCACAGAACUCAAUUUUAAUUGUAAUUUGCUAAGUGUAUACAAAUUGAAGAUUAUAAUAUCAAUUAUAUUUGAGAUUCUUAUUGAUAAGUGAUGAAUGUGAAGAAGGUGUUGAAUGUUGAAACUUUGGACCUUGAUUGAAGAAACUCCCAGAUUGACAAUUAGCUUGAUAAUAUCAUCUAAUCAAAUAACGCCCUUCCACUGGUUUAGGGUUUUCUAUUCAUCUUAAAAUGAUAGAAUUCAUUUGAA
rnacentral:misc_RNA from 1 species